rnacentral:lncRNA from 1 species
AGGAUUAAGUUUCAGGUGCCCACUGCAGUAACCGGCUUAAUAAUACACUAUUGUCUAUCUUCCUUUUUGUAUAUUAAUCUCCAUUUCCCUGCAGGAUUGCACUUGAAUCAUUGUCUCUGGGUCUAAAUCUAUGGAAACCCACAAGAAGAGAUUCGGUACCAAAACUGGACAUAAAUUCUCAGGAGAAGGUUGUGAGUUGGAUCCUAGGCUGGCCAGAUCACAAGGACUAUUAUGCUGCUGCAGAGCCCUCGUUUGUCUCAGGUAACCGUCUCUCCAUAAUAGCACCUUGUGCAUCAGAGGAAGCCGAGCCACCACCAGCUCCAGACGAGGGCCUAGUAUUUUUCAAGUCCACUUGUCUGAGCUUCGCUGGUGAGAACAAGUAGCAUCGAGAAGCAGCAAUGGAGCCCACAGAACAGACUUCAGAGGAUGCCCACCUGGGUCAGCAGAACUGACUUCUUCUUCAGCACUUCAUACAUUUCCACAUUUUGGGGAAGUCUAAGAGGAAGGUGAAAUGCUAAGAGAGUUGUAAUAGAAUUUCAGCUCUUCUGGCCCAUUAGAGGCAGCUUCAAUUACAGAAAUAAAAUAAAGGGCAUGCGAUCUUAUUAAAAUGUG